GUAAGUUAUGCUAUUAUAUAGAAGAUUCGAGGGAUGGUGGGGCGGCGUUCUGCACUCUUGCCGUGCAAGGAACGAUGGCGUCGGCGUCAGAGAAGAAGAGAUGGCUUCCCCUGGAAGCAAACCCCGAUGUGAUGAACCAGUUCAUUUGGGGUCUCGGGGUCCCGGAGGACGUAGCUGAGUUCAAUGACGUGUAUGGCUUGGACGAGGAGCUCUUGGAGAUGGUCCCGAAGCCUGUGCUCGCCGUGCUGUUUCUUUUCCCUUACUCCAAGGAGGCUGAAGCUGAGAGGAUAUCCAAUCAAGGGAAGGCAUCGGGGAAUGAAAAGAAGAAACCAAGUGAGAAGGUGUACUUCUUGAAACAAACUGUGGGUAAUGCUUGUGGAACAAUUGGUGUUCUUCAUGCUUUAGGAAAUGCGAGUUCACAUAUCAAAUUCAUUGAGGAAUCAUUUUUGGAUAGGUUUUAUAAAUCAACAGCCAGCUUGGAUCCAUUUGAGCGUGCUGCCUUUCUGGAAAAAGACAGAGAAAUGGAGGAUGCACAUUCUGUUGCAGCUACUGCUGGGGACACAGAGGCUUCUUCAGAAGUGGAUGAACACUAUAUUUGCUUUACAUGUAUAGAUGGAGAACUUUAUGAGCUUGAUGGAAUGAAAUCCCAACCUAUAAGUCAUGGUCCUUCAUCGCCUGACAGCUUAUUGCAGGAUGCAGCGAAGGUUAUAAAAGCUCUGAUCUUGAAGAACCCCGACUCAAUGAACUUCAAUGUCAUGGCUCUGUCGAAAAAUUCAGGAUGAUCGAUCUGAUAUCGCACUAAUUUUGCUGUCUACUAUCUAAUCCAGCACAUACUCGUCGGAUAUUAUGUUUUGUAGUAGCGGCAAAUUGACGUCACCCCUUACUGAGAUUUUGUAUUCGCAGGAUCCUGAUAUCGAUGAUGACUGGUCUCUGAGCCUCUGUAUUGAAUUCAAGCAUCAGGAGGUAGCUUUGAUUUCAACAUCAUCAUCACCAGGAGAAUCAACAAAGGUAGACGCGAUGGCUCAUUCCACUUGACACCAGGUGUUUCAAUGCGACUCCGAGCAUCAAACCUGUGUGUUGUAUAGCGAAACCACGUCACUAAAGAACGGAUCUCACCAGGAUGCAUAGAACCACAUAAACCCCGUAUCGCUGCAGGAAGUAAAAGGAAGAAAGGAAAACCUAGCAAGAGGCCGCCGUAUAUCUGGGAGGCCUUCUUCCCCGAGGUGAGGGAGUUGCCUCCCAGCCCGAACUGCUGGUUCUGCGCGAGCCCCGCGAUCUCCACACUCUCGAAGGACUUGGCGGACCCGCAGGUCGGCCACCUCCAGUCGUCGGGAAGCUUCCGAACUGUAACCCGGGUGGAAUCGGGUACGACGACGGGUUGCCGGUGGCCUCGUCGUAGCGGUACCUGCAGGAUCGGCACUCGUAGAUGCCGGUGUUGAGCAUCGCGAACCGCUCCUCGUGACGGCGAGGGUCGAGCUUCUUCACAUCCUCGUCUGGUGGUGCUGGCUGAGGCGAUCGGCUGUUGCUGCUGUCCUCCGGUUGGGAGGACAGGGGCUUGUCCUCCUUGGAGACAUCGAUGGAGAACCUGGCAGGUUGGUUUCUUGAAGCUCUCAUAGGAGAGGAAGAGGCAGAAAGGACUCAAAAGUGAGGCAGGGCAGAGGGAGGCUGGUGUUCGUGGGCUUGGAGGAGUAAAGACGGUGGAGGCAGUGGAAAGGGGUGGUCAGUCUUGCUGAGGCCAUCUCUUCUAUUUUCUCUCUAGAAUCAGAUGUGAGGUUUCAUCAAAGAAUCGAGAGGGUUCCGAAAGGGGAACGGGGAAUCUGUUGCGAGCGAUUUGCUUGUCCACUCUGUUUCUGGCAGGGAAGGGAGAAGGGGCGCAGAAGGGCGGGAGGAGAAUCAGGUGCGGUGAUGAAACACGACACCACCAGCAGAAUCCCCCGCAUGUGGAACGAGGAACCUGAUCGGCCACACGUCACUCACUCAAGAGUGCAACCGUGCGAACAAGAGUCCCGUAUGAGCCCGAUUUGUGGAACGGAUCUUAACCGGAUCACAACUCGGGCUGCGCCUGAUUUGAUAUCCCGGGCAACCCCGUCUGACGAUGAUCUAUAUUUACGACGCAAAUAUCAGACGGUGAUACACGUCGCAUCAUGUUGCACGACAACUAAAUCAAGAAACAUUUCUAUUGCACCA